GCACACUAGUGUGCGCUUUGCACACGUGACCCCCCUUUAAUCCUUUACCUCACUACUUACGUCUUCACGAUUCAAGCAGCAUGACGAAUGACGUUAAUUUGGUUCUCUGGUUUUCUCCCACGUUCCGAAAUCAUGAAUAGUAGAUUAACUGAAGACUUUAAUUGUCCUCAUGAGUGAGCUGGCAACAAGUCCACAGUGAGUCUGCUAGAAUAGGCUCCAGUACACCUGCCACCCUCACGAGGGAAGGGAGUGGGGCUUCCUGCGGCUGAUCUACUACGCCCAUGGAAUGUGUACUUGGCCAACUGUCUGGUUUCCAAAUUUUUAGCAGUGCUUCCUCCAUUUCUUCCGUUCCAUCCUAUAUGACAGAAAGAUAACUCUCCAGACAAACAAGGC